CCUUUGUACACACCGCCCGUCGCUACUACCGAUUGAAUGGCUUAGUGAGGCCUCCGGAUUGGCUUCGGGGAGCCGGCAACGGCACCCUGUCGCUGAGAAGCUGGUCAAACUUGGUCAUUUAGAGG
rnacentral:rRNA from 1 species